rnacentral:misc_RNA from 1 species
CGUCAUUUGUACCUUCAAGCUCUGCUUGGUGUUGGGUGUUUGUCCUUGCUCUAGUGGCGGGACUCGCCUUAAAGUAAUUGGCAGCCAGUGUUUUGGUUUUGAAGCGCAGCACAAGUCGCGAUUCAAGUCUAUACGCUAGUUUCCACAAGUCUUUUAUCACUUUUGACCUCGGAUCAGGUAGGGAUACCCGCUGAACUUAA